CAUAUUUCACCUCUAGUAACAACUUAUAUCCAUAUAUUCUUUCUUAAUCCUUAAAUUAUCUAGAAGACUCAGUAACCAUAAUGCUUUCUUCACUUUUUUUUUACAACCAUGUAUUAUGCAUUUAUAGUAGAUAACGCCAAUGUAGCUUGUAACAUUGAUCUCUAACUAACUGGAGGACCAUGUAUUUUAAACAUAUAAUUAGCAGUAGAUUAUUUUCUAUCUAGAUCACCAACG
rnacentral:lncRNA from 1 species